rnacentral:rRNA from 1 species
GGAGCAGCCCAGAGCCUGAAUCAGUGUGUGUGUUAGUGGAAGCGUCUGGAAAGGCGUGCGAUACAGGGUGACAGCCCCGUACACAAAAAUGCACAUACUGUGAGCUCGAUGAGUAGGGCGGGACACGUGGUAUCCUGUCUGAAUAUGGGGGGACCAUCCUCCAAGGCUAAAUACUCCUGACUGACCGAUAGUGAACCAGUACCGUGAGGGAAAGGCGAAAAGAACCCCGGCGAGGGGAGUGAAAAAGAACCUGAAACCGUGUACGUACAAGCAGUGGGAGCACGCUUAGGCGUGUGACUGCGUACCUUUUGUAUAAUGGGUCAGCGACUUAUAUUCUGUAGCAAGGUUAACCGAAUAGGGGAGCCGAAGGGAAACCGAGUCUUAACUGGGCGUUAAGUUGCAGGGUAUAGACCCGAAACCCGGUGAUCUAGCCAUGGGCAGGUUGAAGGUUGGGUAACACUAACUGGAGGACCGAACCGACUAAUGUUGAAAAAUUAGCGGAUGACUUGUGGCUGGGGGUGAAAGGCCAAUCAAACCGGGAGAUAGCUGGUUCUCCCCGAAAGCUAUUUAGGUAGCGCCUCGUGAAUUCAUCUCCGGGGGUAGAGCACUGUUUCGGCAAGGGGGUCAUCCCGACUUACCAACCCGAUGCAAACUGCGAAUACCGGAGAAUGUUAUCACGGGAGACACACGGCGGGUGCUAACGUCCGUCGUGAAGAGGGAAACAACCCAGACCGCCAGCUAAGGUCCCAAAGUCAUGGUUAAGUGGGAAACGAUGUGGGAAGGCCCAGACAGCCAGGAUGUUGGCUUAGAAGCAGCCAUCAUUUAAAGAAAGCGUAAUAGCUCACUGGUCGAGUCGGCCUGCGCGGAAGAUGUAACGGGGCUAAACCAUGCACCGAAGCUGCGGCAGCGACGCUUAUGCGUUGUUGGGUAGGGGAGCGUUCUGUAAGCCUGUGAAGGUGUGCUGUGAGGUAUGCUGGAGGUAUCAGAAGUGCGAAUGCUGACAUAAGUAACGAUAAAGCGGGUGAAAAGCCCGCUCGCCGGAAGACCAAGGGUUCCUGUCCAACGUUAAUCGGGGCAGGGUGAGUCGACCCCUAAGGCGAGGCCGAAAGGCGUAGUCGAUGGGAAACAGGUUAAUAUUCCUGUACUUGGUGUUACUGCGAAGGGGGGACGGAGAAGGCUAUGUUGGCCGGGCGACGGUUGUCCCGGUUUAAGCGUGUAGGCUGGUUUUCCAGGCAAAUCCGGAAAAUCAAGGCCGAGGCGUGAUGACGAGGCACUACGGUGCUGAAGCAACAAAUGCCCUGCUUCCAGGAAAAGCCUCUAAGCAUCAGGUAACAUCAAAUCGUACCCCAAACCGACACAGGUGGUCAGGUAGAGAAUACCAAGGCGCUUGAGAGAACUCGGGUGAAGGAACUAGGCAAAAUGGUGCCGUAACUUCGGGAGAAGGCACGCUGAUACGUAGGUGAAGCGACUUGCUCGUGGAGCUGAAAUCAGUCGAAGAUACCAGCUGGCUGCAACUGUUUAUUAAAAACACAGCACUGUGCAAACACGAAAGUGGACGUAUACGGUGUGACGCCUGCCCGGUGCCGGAAGGUUAAUUGAUGGGGUUAGCGCAAGCGAAGCUCUUGAUCGAAGCCCCGGUAAACGGCGGCCGUAACUAUAACGGUCCUAAGGUAGCGAAAUUCCUUGUCGGGUAAGUUCCGACCUGCACGAAUGGCGUAAUGAUGGCCAGGCUGUCUCCACCCGAGACUCAGUGAAAUUGAACUCGCUGUGAAGAUGCAGUGUACCCGCGGCAAGACGGAAAGACCCCGUGAACCUUUACUAUAGCUUGACACUGAACAUUGAGCCUUGAUGUGUAGGAUAGGUGGGAGGCUUUGAAGUGUGGACGCCAGUCUGCAUGGAGCCGACCUUGAAAUACCACCCUUUAAUGUUUGAUGUUCUAACGUGGACCCGUGAUCCGGGUUGCGGACAGUGUCUGGUGGGUAGUUUGACUGGGGCGGUCUCCUCCUAAAGAGUAACGGAGGAGCACGAAGGUUGGCUAAUCCUGGUCGGACAUCAGGAGGUUAGUGCAAUGGCAUAAGCCAGCUUGACUGCGAGCGUGACGGCGCGAGCAGGUGCGAAAGCAGGUCAUAGUGAUCCGGUGGUUCUGAAUGGAAGGGCCAUCGCUCAACGGAUAAAAGGUACUCCGGGGAUAACAGGCUGAUACCGCCCAAGAGUUCAUAUCGACGGCGGUGUUUGGCACCUCGAUGUCGGCUCAUCACAUCCUGGGGCUGAAGUAGGUCCCAAGGGUAUGGCUGUUCGCCAUUUAAAGUGGUACGCGAGCUGGGUUUAGAACGUCGUGAGACAGUUCGGUCCCUAUCUGCCGUGGGCGCUGGAGAACUGAGGGGGGCUGCUCCUAGUACGAGAGGACCGGAGUGGACGCAUCACUGGUGUUCGGGUUGUCAUGCCAAUGGCACUGCCCGGUAGCUAAAUGCGGAAGAGAUAAGUGCUGAAAGCAUCUAAGCACGAAACUUGCCCCGAGAUGAGUUCUCCCUGACCCUUUAAGGGUCCUGAAGGAACGUUGAAGACGACGACGUUGAUAGGCCGGGUGUGUAAGCGCAGCGAUGCGUUGAGCUAACCGGUACUAAUGAACCGUGAGGCUUAACCUUACAACG